rnacentral:ncRNA from 2 species
AUUGGGAAAGGCAAAGAAGUCUGCCUGAACCACCUGCCCAACGUGCAGGUUGAUGACUUCUACCCCUGC